GGACUACAAGGGUAUCUAAUCCUGUUUGCUACCCACGCUUUCGUGUCUCAGCGUCAGUUACGGUCCAGAGAGCCGUCUACACCACCGGUGUUCCUCCUGAUAUCUACGCAUUUCACCGCUACACCAGGAAUUCCACUCUCCUCUCCCGCACUCUAGCUCCUCAGUAUUCGGCGCACCCUCCCAGUUAAGCCGGGAGAUUUCACACCAAACUUAGGGAGCCGCCUACACACCCUUUACGCCCAGUAACUCCGAACAACGCUUGCUGCCUACGUAUUACCGCGGCUGCUGGCAC
rnacentral:rRNA from 1 species